AUGGUCUACCUACGUAUGCAACCAUACAUAAUGGUUGCUUUUGGUCUCAGACAAGCAAUCAAACUCACCAUAAAGUUUUAUGGACCAUACAGAAUUCUGGAAAGGAUUGGUCAUGUGGCUUAUAAACUCCAAUUGCCACACAAUGUGGGCAUUCACCCUAUUUUCCACGUCAGCCAACUCAAAAGGCACCUGGGCACCCAUGCCAUUGCCACGGCAGAUCUACCACUUGUUGGACCUGAUGACAAAAUCAAAACAGAACCUCUUGCAGUUCUGGAGACACGUUCCCUGUUGCCCAACGGUGUCCUUGUAACUAAGUGGCUAGUUGAAUGGGAGAACCUCAAGCCUGAUGAAGAAACUUGGGAGGAUGCCAACUUCAUGAAGCAAGUUCUUCCUGCAUUUUUUGCAAGCACCAUCAAAAGUCGGUUCCCUAACAAACACACUUGA
rnacentral:rRNA from 1 species